rnacentral:rRNA from 1 species
GAUGAACGCUGGCGGCGUGCUUAACACAUGCCAGUCGAACGAUGAAGCCCAGCUUGCUGGGUGGAUUAGUGGCGAACGGGUGAGUAACACGUGAGUAACCUGCCCUUGACUCUGGGAUAAGCCUGGGAAACUGGGUCUAAUACUGGAUAUGACUUCUCAUCGCAUGGUGGGGGGUGGAAAGAUUUAUUGGUCUUGGAUGGACUCGCGGCCUAUCAGCUUGUUGGUGAGGUAAUGGCUCACCAAGGCGACGACGGGUAGCCGGCCUGAGAGGGUGACCGGCCACACUGGGACUGAGACACGGCCCAGACUCCUACGGGAGGCAGCGGUGGGGAAUAUUGCACAAUGGGCGCAAGCCUGAUGCAGCGACGCCGCGUGGGGGAUGACGGCCUUCGGGUCGUAAACCUCUUUCAGUAGGGAAGAAGCGAGAGUGACGGUACCUGCAGAAGAAGCGCCGGCUAACUACGUG